UUUCAUAUAAACACGGUAAAUUAAGUACAGAUACACUCUCAGUUGCUUCUCUAUUAAUUUAAUUCGAUUGUGUGACUGCUCUUAAAUAGUGUUGUCCCCAUUUCUUUCAAUCGCAUUGUAAAAUGCAAUUCUUGUUUGAAGCGAUGUUAAUUCGUUCUGAAAUUUAAAUAAAUUUUAUGAUUAUUUCAUUACAAAGCUAGCGAGUUAUGACAAAGCAGAGGACGAUAGAUAAAGCACAAAUUAGCUAGCUUCUGAAUUCCAUGAAAUACAUGCAGAUAAGCUUAUAAAAUUAAAUGCAGACAAAACAAUACGGGUGACUGAUUAAUAACCAUAAAAAUGUGUGAACGAACCCAAAAAGUGAUAUAGGAAUAGGAAGAGAACACUGCAUAAAGGCCACUUGUGUCCUUGUCUAAUAAAUCAUGCACAUUCGUGCAGUAAAGUAUAACGUGUAAGUCUAACACCGAUUAACGAGCGGCGUUAGUGUGCAUAUUUAAUUAGACAAGGACAGAGGGGUUCUUUUUCUCAUAUGACUCGCGUUCUCUUACAACAUAAUGUAAUAAUAAACAAUAAAGUAAUUAAUAAAAAAUGAAAUAAA